UCGGGAUGUGGCCUAGUGGCUAAGGCACCUGCUUUGGGAGCAGGGGAUCGUGAGUUCGAAUCCCACCAUCCCGAAAUA
rnacentral:tRNA from 1 species